CAGCUAGUUGGUAGGGUAACGGCCUACCAAGGCGACAAUCCGUAGCUGGUCUGAGAGGACGACCAGCCACACCGGAACUGAGACACGGUCCGGACUCCUACGGGAGGCAGCAGUGGGGAAUAUUGGACAAUGGGGGAAACCCUGAUCCAGCGACGCCGCGUGGGUGAAGAAGGCCUGCGGGUUGUAAAGCCCUUUCGGUGAGGAAGAAAAGUUGCGACCUAACACGUCGCGACCUUGACGUAACUCAUUAAAGAAGCACCGGCUAACUCUGUGCCAGCAGCCGCGGUAAUACAGAGGGUGCGAGCGUUAAUCGGAAUUACUGGGCGUAAAGCGCGCGUAGGCGGCUUUGCAAGUCGGGUGUGAAAUCCCCAGGCCUAAC
rnacentral:rRNA from 1 species